rnacentral:rRNA from 1 species
AACGAACGCUGGCGGCGUGGAUAAGACAUGCAAGUCGAACGAGAACUUUCGUUGUAGCAAUACAGUGAAAGUUCUAGUGGCGAACGGGUGCGUAACACGUGGGCAAUCUGCCUUAAAGUGGGGGAUAGCUCGGCGAAAGCCGGAUUAAUACCGCAUGUGAUUACCGGAGAAUUCUUCGGAACAUCAAAGUCGGGGCAACCUGACGCUUUUUGAGGAGCCCGCGGCCUAUCAGCUAGUUGGUGAGGUAACGGCUCACCAAGGCGUUGACGGGUAGCUGGUCUGAGAGGACGACCAGUCACACUGGAACUGAGACACGGUCCAGACACCUACGGGUGGCAGCAGUCGAGAAUUUUUCUCAAUGGGGGAAACCCUGAAGGAGCGACGCCGCGUGGAGGAUGAAGGUCUUCGGGUUGUAAACUCCUGUCAUUUGGGAACAAUGCUUACGUAUUAACUGUACGUGAGUUGAUAGUACCAGAAGAGGAAGAGACGGCUAACUCUGUGCCAGCCGCCGCAGUAACAC